AACACACUGCUAUUCAGCUGGUUCACAACUCUUCUAAAAUAUUUCCUCUGUCUCCAUCCCAUGGAGGGCCGCUCCCUUGCCUUGCCGUCCAGCCACUCCUACGCCGCCUACCUCUCGUCGAGGGGCGCCUCCCUCGCCGUCCAGCGCCGCCCCCUCGCCGUCUAGCGGCUCCAGUGCCGCCUCCAUCCCGAUCGACGGGCGCCUCCCUCGCCGUCUAGCCACCCCAGCGCCGCCUCUCUCCCCGUUGACUGGGUCCUCCCUCGCCAUCCAGAUCUGCUUCCCUCGCCGUCCAGAUCUGAUCCCCACGCCGGCCAGCCGCCUCACCCUUCUGUCUCCCUCCCAGUCCAGCUCCUCCCACUGCCGAGUCAAGUCUUGGCGAACUACAACCGACCUGAGGAGAGGAAGACCCAAAAAAGAAAUCUGAGAGAAACAUAAAUUGGAAACUAGAGGAGUUCUGGGCAACUUUAUUAGUCUGAAUCCCUAGCUGAGAGUUCAGCAGUAGCCGCAAUGGGUCCGAGGCUAGCAUGUCAGCUACCACGGCAAGGAAGGAGGCAAGUUUCCCGCUACAUUCAUCCUCUGCAGUCUGAAACUCUAAAUGUAAUACACAUGCACCAAGCCUUAUUACCAAGAAACACGUGGAAUGUGAGGCGGCGGCGAAGCAUUAGCUAGCGCGGGUGCGUCACCUCUGUGGUAUUGUGGGCAAUCACGGUUUUGGCAAGCUCACUGGAAUCAAGUGAGGGCAGUGAGAUAACGAUGAAUGUGGCAGCGAGAAAUGAUGGUUCUCCUGAUCUUCCUUUCUGUGGUAUCUUCUAAGGCAUCCCUGAUAUGUCUCUUUUUGGUUCUUAAAUUAUUCUUGCUAUGAAUAGUUCAUCUCCUAAAUAUAUCUUAAUUGUGUUUGUCUCUAGGAGCGCGACAUCGUAACCCAGACAAGUUCUUUCCAGAUUUAGAUAUGUAGCUCAACAUUAAAAUCGCAACUUCGUGAGAUUCUAAACCUGAAGGGAGAGCACUACGUAGCGUUCCUAUUUGAUAGCUCUCUUUGUCAUAUCUCAUUUGAUAGCUACAUCCAUGCCGGUGCUAAAUGCUUUUUACUUGGUUGCGCUGCUGAAAUUGAGCUGAAUUACACUUCUACAACUUUGUAGCUAUAUGUGAGCCUCCCACUAAUUUUUUGACAGUUGCUUCGUUAGGUACACUCAUCAUUCAUGGUUUUUUAUUACAUGAUAUGCUUACCAACAGGUUCGUGGUAAUACUGUCUUCAAACAUUUCAAAGCUUAAGACAUGGCAAACUGAUGAGUUGGAAAACUUUAUGAUGCUAUCACCAAUUCAUUUUAAGCAUACAUAUAUAGCAGUUCUUAAUUCUUGGUGAUCAAAAUGCGGAUGAUUUAAGGUACUAAGUGAUGUUCUAACAUAUUUUGCACUUACCUAUGUUGUUUUACAUAUGCCCAUUAUUUUCUAUUCAUGUUCAUAUAACAAAAUCUCAUCGAAAUAUUGGCAAGAAAUUCCCGCAGCAAUGCGUUUGGUCAAUGGUAUACCUUCUGGGGGUUCUUCUUUGCAACUUUGAUUGGGAAGACCAGCAUCAAGACUCGUAUUCAGGUGGAUGAAUCUUCCCAAGCCUAAGAGCUUGCUGGUACUCUGUUUGGCAGCUUCUUCCCAUGCUGAGAAGACCAUGGUGCUACUCCGACCAAGGAGAAUCAUUUAGGAAUGUAUUUUCUGACUGUUCAGCUUCGUUUGUCUUUUGGAGGGGCUAAAUGGAGCAGCUCUUGUUCUUUUUAAGUUUUUGGGAACCAUGAGUUGGAAUAUCAUUUUGUGAACAAUCAAAGAUAUUGCAAUGAAUGUGAUCUUAUUUA